GACGAACGCUGGCGGCGUGCUUAACACAUGCAAGUCGAACGGAAAGGCCCUGAUUUUGUGGGGUGCAUGUGAGGCGAACGGGUGAGUAUCACGCGAGUAACCUGCCCUUGAAUUAGGGAUAAAACCAGGAAACUGGGGAUAAUACCGGAUAGGAGCUUCUGCUGCACGUUGGGGGUAGGUGAGUUUCGGCGGUGGGGGCUGGACUCGCGGCUUAUCAGCUUGUUGGUGGGAUAGUGCCUUACCAAGGCUAUGACGGGAAGCCGGCCUGGGAGGGUGAGCGGCGACACUGGGACUGAGGUACGGCACAGACACCUACGGGAGGCAGCAGUGGGGAAUAUUGCACGAGGGACGGAAGGCGGAUGCAGCAACUCCGCGUGUGGGAUGACGGCUUUCUAGUUAAAAACCUCUUUGGACUGUGAUGAAGCGUGAGUGACGGUAAUGAGUAAGAAAGCACCGGCUAACUACGUG
rnacentral:rRNA from 1 species